rnacentral:rRNA from 1 species
ACACGACUACAUUAGAUACCCCUGUAGUCCCAGCCCUAAACGAUGCGCGUUAGGUGUAUCGGUGACCACGAGUCACCGAGGUGCCGAAGGGAAACCGUGAAACGUGCCGCCUGGGAAGUACGGUCGCAAGGCUGAAACUUAAGGGAAUUGGCGGGGGAGCACCACAACGGGUGGAGCCUGCGGUUUAAUUGGACUCAACGCCGGGAAGCUCACCGGAUAAGACAGCGGAAUGAUUGCCGGGCUGAAGACCCUGCAUGACCAGCUG